GCCCUCACACUGGUCUAUGAUGGUAUCAGACUUCCCUUGUUUUCGGUGACAAGGAGAAUCGCGGGGAGUAUUGUCUUCACAGCUGACUCAAUACUUUUCUUUCAAGAACCUUGGUCUCUCUUGGAAUGCUCCCAACUGUUCACCUUCAUCUGGCGGCAGGGCCACUAACAUCUCAAGCUGCAGCAGGGACACCUUCCCUCAGUGGUGUAUCACAUCGUGAUUGUGUUCAGUAAAGGAUGAUUGACGUGCAUGACCUCUCCGUGGGGGAGGAGCAGCUCCAGUGCUCUCCUUGCAGGCAAUGUGCACCUGGAUCAGGGAGCCCAGUGGACCCACAAACAAGCAGGCCAGGCUUUGGAUGGAACUUUAAACCCUUGGUUAGACAUCUUGGAGCUCCAGGGACCCUGGUCACCCAAGCUUUUCUUGACUCAAACAUGCCCUCGGUUAGCACCUUCUGUGUGUGAGUUUCCAGACCCAGGGUGUGGGAAGGUCUUCUCAUCAAGGAACAGUGUCGUUUCAGUAAAACUGCAAUAGCUAAUGCUUGCAGUCACUCACCCAUACCUGCAUAUGAGACAUGGCCUUGGGGACCUUAGCUUGUGGGAGUGUGGGAGGGACUCUUACUGCCCUGUCCCCCCAACCAGGACUGACAUUCUCUGGUUGCUGGCUUCAUUUUAUUCUUCAUUUCCUUGAGGGUUUCCCCAGAGUCAGGCCCUGGGUGGUCCCAUAUCCCUCCUUUGAGUUUCCUCCUGGAGGAACUUGUCCUUCAAGCAUUUACUUCUAAGUUGAAGCUUUCUGGGACCUGCUUUGCCAGCAUCACUGUGUUAGAAAGACCCCUGUUGUCAUAGCAAGGCAGUGAGACUGAACCUUUUCCAGUGUUUCUGCUGAGAUGGAUGGGCCAU